GACGAACGCUGGCGGCGUGCUUAACACAUGCAAGUCGAACGGAAAGGCCCUGCUUUUGUGGGGUGCUCGAGUGGCGAACGGGUGAGUAACACGUGAGUAACCUGCCCUUGACUUUGGGAUAACUUCAGGAAACUGGGGCUAAUACCGGAUAGGAGCUCCUGCUGCAUGGUGGGGGUUGGAAAGUUUCGGCGGUUGGGGAUGGACUCGCGGCUUAUCAGCUUGUUGGUGGGGUAGUGGCUUACCAAGGCUUUGACGGGUAGCCGGCCUGAGAGGGUGACCGGCCACAUUGGGACUGAGAUACGGCCCAGACUCCUACGGGAGGCAGCAGUGGGGAAUAUUGCACAAUGGGCGGAAGCCUGAUGCAGCAACGCCGCGUGCAGGAUGACGGCCUUCGGGUUGUAAACCGCUUUCGCCUGUGACGAAGCGUGAGUGACGGUAAUGGGUGAAGAAGCACCGGCUAACUACGUG
rnacentral:rRNA from 1 species